rnacentral:rRNA from 1 species
GAUGAACGCUGGCGGCGUGCCUAAUACAUGCAAGUCGAGCGAACAGACGAGGAGCUUGCUCCUCUGAUGUUAGCGGCGGACGGGUGAGUAACACGUGGAUAACCUACCUAUAAGACUGGGAUAACUUCGGGAAACCGGAGCUAAUACCGGAUAACAUGUUGAACCGCAUGGUUCAACAGUGAAAGACGGUCUUGCUGUCACUUAUAGAUGGAUCCGCGCCGCAUUAGCUAGUUGGUAAGGUAACGGCUUACCAAGGCAACGAUGCGUAGCCGACCUGAGAGGGUGAUCGGCCACACUGGAACUGAGACACGGUCCAGACUCCUACGGGAGGCAGCAGUAGGGAAUCUUCCGCAAUGGGCGAAAGCCUGACGGAGCAACGCCGCGUGAGUGAAGAAGGUCUUCGGAUCGUAAAACUCUGUUAUUAGGGAAGAGCAAAUGUGUAAGUAACUAUGCACGUCUUGACGGUACCUAAUCAGAAAGCCACGGCUAACUACGUG